UGUAGGCUGCAACUCGCCUACAUGAAGUCGGAGUUGCUAGUAAUCGCGGAUCAGAAUGCCGCGGUGAAUGCGUUCCCGGGUCUUGUACACACCGCCCGUCACACCAUGGAAGUUGGGGCGCCCGAAGUUGGUCGGGAAAUAGAUUACCUAAGGCGAAACCAAUGACUGGGGUGAAGUCGUAACAAGGUAAC
rnacentral:rRNA from 1 species